ensembl:lncRNA
GUUAAUUGCAUAUAUGUGUGCACAGUGCUCUCUAGGCACUCUGGUGAAUCUGGACUGUUGCAUUGAAAAGAACUCAAGAUUGACUGGGCCAGUAAGAUAAUAGGAGCAUGAACAUAGGAGCUUCACGGGUAGGGCAGGACAUGAUAGAUGGAUAGCUUGAGUUCUGCUCUAAAGAUUCAUAUUUUAUUCAAUGCUGCUUCAUCAUCACCCCUUUCAACUGUGUUCUAAAAAGAAAAAGAGUAGUCCCUGCUUAGCUAUUUCAAAGAUGGGUCACAAACACUUUCUUUCAGGAAAGGGCUAAAAUCUGUGGAUCUGCAGUAGAUAAAAGCAUUUUCCUGCAAAAUAUGAAGCACAGAGUAGGUCAGGGUCACAUUUCAAACAUCCUCAUGCUUAGUGUUUCCUAUAACAGCUGCUUUCAAAUAGGACCUCCUCCCCCACCUUCCUCCAUUGAAUAAAUUCUUGAAAUAUAUCAGAAGUGUAAGAAGGCCCAAGGAAAGUCCAUCUGAUUACUUACUCUACCUUUGUUUUUUUCUUCCAUCAUGCUCUCUCCUUGUGGCAGCAGCUGGAUGAGGACAAGCAGCCUCUCCUACCCCUCUCCGCUUUGCCUGGCUGUGCACUGGCUGCACCAGUGCAGCUGGCAGAUCUCCCAGGUUAAGGUGGAAACAGCAGUGGAGCUGGAUUGUGAGAAAACAGUUUACAUAAGAAAUGGACACUUCAAAGGAAUCUCUGUGAAUGCAGUCACAAGACCUGAGGUUCUUGUUUUACCUGAUGCUCUUCAAAUGCUGCCCAUCCUCUAGAAAAUUCCUUACAAAAUGCCGUCUUGUACUUGUGCUUUGUGAUCAGAAGCAAUUGUUCUCAACAUUUUUGUGAAACCAACCCUACACGUAUUAGAUAUUCUGCCAGCUAGCGGAGAGGAUAAGGCUAAUGCAUCGUCUUCAACCUGAGAGCUAACCUACAUUCCAUAAGUAAGCAGAGAAUAUCCAUUUAAUGGACUUCAUUGAUGUGUGGAGGGGUUCUGACUGCACUGCAAAACAGCGUGAGAUGAGUUACACUAGUCCAGCUAGCAUACAGGACAUUCAAAUGAAAACUAAGUGACUUGAAGAAUGCUAUAUAAGAGGUUAUUUCAUUGAGCAAAUUCAGAAUUCACGGCUUUGAGUUAAAUGUUAAACAUUCAUGGUAGGAGAAAGCAUGCAGUAAUGGACAAUGAAGGGCAGAACUAGAAAUGUCUCCUAAUUUACUUUGUACCCUAAAAUAUGUACAUUAUCACAUAAAACAAUUCAAGAGGAUGUGAUGGCUUUGCAACAUUUUUAUCUAUCAAUGUUUCUAACUAUCAAAAAUACUUCUCUUAUAGAUUUUCUUUGAAUGUCAAAGUCGUCCACAGAGGUAUUGAAUACAAAUUCAAAUGUUGAUAUAGAUACAAGUGUAGUGAUAAGGAAAGUAGCGAUGAGGAAUACACUGGUUUUGAAAACCGAUACACUGGUUUUUGAAAACAGAAUUGUGGGAAGAUUUUUUUAGUGAAGACAAUUGAGUUCUGUCUGUCUUGGAUAGAGCUGGAGUACAAGCAGUGUGUUUCAACAUCCUUCUCUAGAGAUACAACAUAUGCUUUAUUACUUCAAGCUGUUCUCCAUCUCUUUGCAUUCAGACAUCAAGGUUUCUGCAAGUUGUAUGCUUCCUAUGCUGUAUGUGAAUACUCAGAAAUGUGUGGCUUUCUUUCUCUGUGUGCUUCCUUUCAGUGCUCUCCAUUAUAAGAAAAAGAAACCUACAGGGGAGCUUGUGUGAGCUGGGCUUAUCCUUCAC